GACAGAGGGGGCAAGCGUUGCUCGGAAUUACUGGGCGUAAAGGGCGCGUAGGCGGGAUGGCAAGUCGGUCGUGAAAUCCCUCGGCUCAACUGAGGAGCGUCGAUCGAAACUGCCGUUCUUGAGGGUUGCAGAGGAGACUGGAAUUCCCGGUGUAGCGGUGAAAUGUGUAGAGAUCGGGAGGAACACCGGUGGCGAAGGCGACUUCCUGGCCUGUUCUUGACGCUGAGGCGCGAAAGCUAGGGUAGCAAACGGG
rnacentral:rRNA from 1 species